rnacentral:rRNA from 1 species
CCUACGGGUGGCAGCAGUGAGGAAUAUUGGUCAAUGGACGAGAGUCUGAACCAGCCAAGUAGCGUGAAGGAUGACUGCCCUAUGGGUUGUAAACUUCUUUUAUAAAGGAAUAAAACGAGGCACGUGUGCCUUUUUGCAUGUACUUUAUGAAUAAGGAUCGGCUAACUCCGUGCCAGCAGCCGCGGUAAUACGGAGGAUCCGCGCGUUAUCCGGAUUUAUUGGGUUUAAAGGGAGCGUAGAUGGGUUGUUAAGUCAGUUGUGAAAGUUUGCGGCUCAACCGUAAAAUUGCAAUUGAUACUGGCAGUCGUGAGUACAGUUGAGGUAGGCGGAAUUCGUGGUGUAGCGGUGAAAUGCUUAGAUAUCACGAAGAACCCCGAUUGCGAAGGCAGCUUACUAAACUGUGACUGACAUUGAUGCUCGAAAGUGUGGGUAUCAAACAGGAUUAGAUACCCUUGUAGUC